rnacentral:lncRNA from 1 species
UCUAGAAGAAAGAUCCUCAAGUCACAGAAUAACACAUAGGCAAUUUGGUAAAUAUUUCCAAAUUCUUCUUCAUAGGAUUCAUCAUUUCGCAUUUCUGUAACCAUGAAUGAGGGUGUUUGUUUUCUUAGAACUGUCCAUGUGGAACAUCCUGUCAGCCUCAGCUUUUUAACAAUCAGGAAGAAAGUCACACAACCACAUAUUUUCUGAACAUAAGCUGAACUUCUACUUCCAUGGAGUGAGUUACUUCACCUCAUUGGCAAAAGACAACAGAAGAGUCCAAAGUCUGAGGGGACUGGGCAAGCUUCUGUCACAUGCUUUCAGAAUGAAGACAAUCUGCAAGAAUUUUAAGUUGUGACCUCUACAGAGAAAAGAAUGAAAAGUAGCCAAAUCUCCACAUGAGAGAUUUUGGACUAUUUUGCAGUGUAAACCCCAUCUGAUUUAUAUGAAGUAAGCAGACUUUCUCUCCAAGAGUUCAAAAUAAAUUAAUUCUAAUGCUAAA